rnacentral:rRNA from 1 species
CAGCCGCACGGUAAUACGUAGGUGGCAAGCGUUGUCCGGAAUUAUUGGGCGUAAAGGGCUCGCAGGCGGUUUCUUAAGUCUGAUGUGAAAGCCCCCGGCUCAACCGGGGAGGGUCAUUGGAAACUGGGAAACUUGAGUGCAGAAGAGGAGAGUGGAAUUCCACGCGUAGCGGUGAAAUGCGUAGAGAUGUGGAGGAACACCAGUGGCGAAGGCGACUCUCUGGUCUGUAACUGACGCUGAGGAGCGAAAGGGUGGGGAGCGAACAGGAUUAGAUACCCCAGUAGUCCCUGUCUCUUAUACA